GAAAUGUGCGUGGAGUCGGCCGCGGUAAGGCGGAUGGUGCGAGGGUGUAGUGGAAUAGUGGGGGGUAAAGCGAGCGCAGGCGGCGUAUUAAGUCAGAUGUGUAAGCCCCAGUGUCAACCGAGGAACUGCAGUUGAAACUAAGAAACUAGAGUAGCGUAGAUGGAGGUAGAAGUCCAGGUGUAGCGGUGAAAUGCGUAGAGAACUGGAGGAAUACCAGUGGCGAAGGCGACCUCCUUGACGAAAACUGACGCUCUAGUACGAAAGCAUUGGGAGCAAACAGGAUUAGAUACCCCGGUAGUC
rnacentral:rRNA from 1 species